rnacentral:rRNA from 1 species
UACGGAGGGUGCAAGCGUUGUUCGGAAUCACUGGGCGUAAAGCGCGUGUAGGCGGUCGCUUAAGUCUGAUGUGAAAGCCCGGGGCUUACCCCCGGAAGGGCAUUGGAAACUGGGCGACUGGAGUACCGGAGAGGAGGGUGGAAUUCCUGGUGUAGCGGUGAAAUGCGUAGAUAUCAGGAGGAACACCGGUGGCGAAGGCGGCCCUCUGGACGGAUACUGACGCUGAGACGCGAAAGCGUGGGGAGCGAACAGG